CUUUGGUAAUUUAGCGUUUGUGAUUUUAUUUGAGUCAUAAAGCUAGAUUACCAAAGCA
rnacentral:pre_miRNA from 1 species